GCUUGGGAAUAUGCCUUGAGGUGGGGAACAACAGUUGGAAACAACUGCUAAUACCGCAUAAUGUCUACGGACCAAAGGAGGGGAUCUUCGGACCUUUCGCCUUUAGAUUAGCCCAAGUGAGAUUAGCUAGAUGGUGGGGUAAUGGCCUACCAUGGCGACAAUCUCUAGCUGGUUUGAGAGGAUGAUCAGCCACACUGGGACUGAGACACGGCCCAGACUCCUACGGGAGGCAGCAGUGAGGAAUAUUGGACAAUGGAGGCAACUCUGAUCCAGCCAUGCCGCGUGCAGGAAGACUGCCCU
rnacentral:rRNA from 1 species